AGAGUUUGAUCCUGGCUCAGAUUGAACGCUGGCGGCAUGCCUUACACAUGCAAGUCGAGCGGCAGCGCGGGGGCAACCCUGGCGGCGAGCGGCGAACGGGUGAGUAAUACAUCGGAACGUGUCCUGUCGUGGGGGAUAACCAGUCGAAAGACUGGCUAAUACCGCAUGAGAUCUCACGAUGAAAGCGGGGGACCGCAAGACCUCGCGCGAUUGGAGCGGCCGAUGGCAGAUUAGGUAGUUGGUGGGGUAAAGGCUCACCAAGCCGACGAUCUGUAGCUGGUCUGAGAGGACGACCAGCCACACUGGGACUGAGACACGGCCCAGCCUCCUACGGGAGGCAGCAGUGGGGAAUUUUGGACAAUGGGCGCAAGCCUGAUCCAGCCAUUCCGCGUGCAGGAUGAAGGCCCUCGGGUUGUAAACUGCUUUUGGACGGAACGAAAAGGCCUUUUCUAAUACAGAGGGCUCAUGACGGUACCGUCAGAAUAAGCACCGGCUANCUACGUGCCAGCAGCCGCGGUAAUACGUAGGGUGCAAGGCGUUAUCGGAAUUACUGGNGCGUAAAGCCGUGCCGCAGGCGGUUAUGUAAGGACACGUGUGAAAUCCCCGGGGCUUAACCUGGGGAACUGCAUUUNGUGACUGCAUAGCUAGNAAUACGGUANAGGGGGAU
rnacentral:rRNA from 1 species